rnacentral:misc_RNA from 1 species
GAUGAAGAACGUAGCGAAAUGCGAUAAGUAAUGUGAAUUGCAGAAUUCAGUCAAUCAUCGAAUCUUUGAACGCACAUUGCGCCCAUUAGUAUUCUAGUGGGCAUGCCUGUUCGAGCGUCAUUAAGUCCACUUAAGCCCUGCUUAGUGUUGGGAGACUGCUCCAGCGGUGCUACCCUGUAGCUACCCUGCAGCUCCUCAAAGACAGCGGCGGAGUUGUGGUAUCCUCUGAGCUUAGUAACUUGUUCUAGCUUUCGAGUACACCACUUCCCCUGCCGUAAAACCCUUAAUUUUUAAUGGUUGACCUCGGAUCAGGUAGGAAUACCCGCUGAACUUAAGCAUAUCAAUAAGCGGAGGA